CAAUCGGCCCUUUCCAGGGCCAACAAAUGUGUUUUAAAGAGUUUUU
rfam:Aedes aegypti strain Liverpool supercont1.104 genomic scaffold, whole genome shotgun sequence.